AAGAUUUUAAGUUAUUUAAACUAUUAACCUUCAAAGUUAAAUAUACUACUUUAAGUAAAUCUUA
rnacentral:tRNA from 1 species